ensembl:lncRNA
CUGGCUUCAAGUUAUUUCUGUGAUAAGGAAAAGUGAUUACUUAAGAGAUAAAAAUGCAGGGUUUGUUCCAAUUGGUCAAACCGUUUCUAUGGUUGCAGAGUGGUAUCUGAAGAUUCAGCUGAAAAAAUGUGUCUUAAAGAUGAGAAAACAUCUUAUCUGUUGCAUCCCUGCACUACAUUUGCUAGGCAGGAAUGGAGUUCCAGGCUGAGAGGAGAUACAGCUUGAUGGUUUUGUUACUGGAUCCUUUUAAGUAACCCCUUUCCCCCAAAUAAAACUUUCUAAAAGCCAAAUCCAUCUUAACUGCAGGUGGCUUCCUUUCUUUGUUUUACGCUGUUAACUAGGAAAGCUUUGCAGUGCCCCCAGAGAUUUAUCAGAAUAUCACGAGACUUUUUUUUUUUUUUGAAAGGGGACUCUAGGGACCUGAAUGCAUCCUUUGGGAAGAUGACCUUCCAGGAUGCACCUACAUCUGAAAUAUGAAAGCAGAUGUAGUGUUUGUUUUGGCUGCGCUCUGCAAGGUCACUUCACCCCAUGGCUUUUAGCUUUCUUAUUGCAGUGUUCAAGAGUGUGGUGUCCUCUGGAUCACUCACUGCUGCUAAUUCUGCCACGUGGGUCAGCUGGAUCCCAGGUCAGCAUGAAGCCAUUUCUCUUGCGUGCAAAAGGAAAGCCAGCCUAUUUAAUGUGUGCCAUCAGCAGCUCGAAAGCACCAAUGUUUUAUCUCUUGUCAUUCAUUACAAACAAAUUGUAUCCUUCUUCAUAGUUGCCAUGCAGGAUAGAUAUCGAGGAUCUGUAUAAUAUUGUUCAGUGUUUAGAAAAUAUUUAAUCAUCACUGUAGAGUACAAUUUGCAUUAUUCCCAUUUUUCAUGCCAACAUGAUUUGUAUGGCAGCCAAUGUAUGCUAAUUAGUCAAAUUUUCCUAAUUAAUUUUUGUUAACGUGUUGUCCUGACAUGACUUGAAAUGUACAGCUUAUUGUAUUAAAUGUAUUAAAAUUGCUUCUGCUUUCUACUGUAUACCAGGGAAUAAUCUGCUACCAACAGCAAGUGUUUACAACAAUUUUUAAAUGCACAUAUUCUAAUUAAAGUGAACAUCCAACAUGUUGGCCAAGGGUGAG